GAUGAACGCUGGCGGCGUGCCUACUACAUGCAAGUCGAGCGAAGCGGGGACGGGUGAGUAACACGUGGAUAACCUCCUAUAAGACUGGGAUAACUUCGGGAAACCGGAGCUAAACCGGAUACUUAUAUGUGGUUCCGCGCUGCAUUAGCGAGGUGGUAAGGUAAAGGCUUACAAAGGCAACGAUGCAUAGCCGACCUGAGAGGAUGAUCGGCCACACGGGAACUGAGAGACGGGCCAGACUCCGACGGGAGGAAGCAGUAGGGAAUCUGCCGCAAUGGGCGAAAGCCUGACGGAGCAACGCAGCGUGAGUGAUGAAGGUCUUCGGAUCGUAAAACUCUGUUAUUAGGGAAGCGGUACCUAAUCAGAAAGCCACGGCUAACUACGUGCCAGCAGCCGCGGUAAUUC
rnacentral:rRNA from 1 species